rnacentral:tRNA from 2 species
GACUCAGUAGCUCAGCUGGUAGAGCACAUCCCUUUUAAGGAUGGGGUCCUGGGUUCGAACCCCAGCUGAGUCACCA